AAAAAUAAAAUAAAUAAAAGCAGCACAUGGCUAAUCUGCAUAAGAUAAAACGAAGGCUCUCUUGGCAGGAGACAAAGCUGGCCUGGCUCUUUGAUUGGCUGUGGGGGAUGGGGAGGGCACUGGCACACCAACAUAUGAAGUGAGAGCCUCGAGGACAUCAUACAGCACAGCAGUCACUGCUCUCAUCACAAGCCACUGAGCAACUGCAAAACACAAGACCAACAACUACAAAGCUACCUGUGUGAGGCUAACAUCUUCAAACCACAUCCAUCAGCUGAAGCCUUGCUGCUUGCAAAAGAAGCCGAACGCUGCUAGAGCCUGACUGUGGGGGAUGGGUAACACAGCACACAGCACAGCGCGGCUUCAGUGCAGCGCGCGCGCGCGCGCGCACACACACACACACACACACGCUCUCUCUCUCUACUGCUUUACUGCUGGCCUACUCCAUACUCCAGCCUCAACCAGUGGUGAUUUCUUUACAAAAAAACAAUAUGGAAGGAAAGACUUAAAAACAGCCACUCUGGCAGAAAUGUUGGCAGUGGAUCUGGAGCCUAUCCCAGGAACAGUGGGCGCAAGGCAGAGACACACCCUGAAGGACACCAGUCCAUCGAAGCAGGCCAUGCACAUACUCAUUCACACUUAGAGUCUGCCAGUCCACCUAUUUGUAUGGUUUUUUUUUUGAGGUGGGGGAAAUCUAGAGAACCUGGAAGAAACACAUGGAGACACAGAGAAAAGAUGUACAACAAUUCAAUGCAAACAGUAACUAAAACUGAGUACACUGGAACUAUGAUUUAACAUCCCUUUCACAGUGUUCCUCUACCUAAUUUUGUGACUUAUAAUUUUUUUUUGCAUUUAUUCAAAACAAUAUAUUCCCUUUUUAAUGAAUGGACCGAAGGCUGAUAAAUCAAACCAUGUGUCUGUUACAGGCCAUAGAUGGCCAAGAAUGUGAAGGCCAGGGUUAGUCUUGAGUAUAGGAAUCAAAUCUUGUCUGAUUUUCUUGAAGAAAAGUUAACUUUUUAUAUUUAAAUUAACUACAAUUAUUAACAAUAUGAGUGGGAUUAUAUUCAUGUAGCUCUAGUGUUAGAUUUAAUUAAUUACAAACACAAUAGUGGCUGGGCAAUCAUAGAACUGUUAUUGAGAAAUAAUACAUGUACAUUAAAUACAUAUUAUGCCAUGCAACAACAUAGGAAUUGGCCACUGUUUGGUGAUCAUGUUUCCUCCAGGGUCUCUUGUUUCUUCCCACCUCACACAGCAGUAGGUGGAUGGUUGACUCUCAAUGGCCCUAAGGUGUGAAUGUGUUUGUGUAUGGUGUACUGCAUUUGACUGGCGUCUCACACGACUGAAGAAUAUUAGCCCAUAUAAACAUACGAUCAAAUCACCUCACACAAUGGCCAUUGACAAGCUGCAUGAAUCUACACUGGGCUAGAAAGAAAUCAACCCCAGCCUUCUUUCUACUAUUAUGUGUAUAUUUCUUUUUUUUUUUAUGAAAAAGCAUGAUGAUGAAAUGAUAUAUGAUAGAUAUUUGUAUAUGUUUUUGAUAUGUCUAUGUUGUUGAAUUUAUUUUGAAUUAGACAGUUACAGGUGUUAACUAUUUAUAAAGAUUAUUAUAUAUAAUACAGAUAUGUACAUAAAAUAUACUUAAUUGAAAAUACACAAUAUGCAUAAAAUAUAUAGUAUAUAUUAACAUUGAACCAGGCAAAUUCAUUGCCAUAAACAUGAAAAUAAACCACACAUAAGCUAGAGUCAAGGCAAUGAAAAAAAAAGGUGGAGAUUGUUGUAUGGAGCCAUUCUUUCAAUUAGUGGUUCAUUCAAUCGUUUACACUCAGACACACCCCCACAUGGGAAUCUACAAAGUAACCAGAGCACACACAGGGAAGUUGGGCCUUGGCCAGCAGGUUGCUGGGCAGCCGUCACACACACAAACUCUCUCUCUCAAGUGUGCUAAGGAAAGAAGUGGCAGUCUGAGAAACCAGCUCAAGAAAGCAUAGAUGUGGGUGAAUUCGCACAACCAAACCCCCCACCCUCACUCAGAACACACAGACACACAACAAACCAAAAGACAACAGGCAUGGGCAUAUUAUAAGCCCACAUUACUUUUUUAUUAUAAUAAUAAUAAUAAUUAUUAUUAUUACAAUUAACCUGCUACAUUUCCUUUGUUUCAAGCAUGAGACCAUGAGUAGGUAAUAUAGUGACUUCACUAUAUAGAAUGAAAUAUUAAGUAUACCAGAGAGAAGAUAGGAGUCAUCAUGUUUAUCACAUGCUCAAAAAAAAAACAAACAACAACAAAAAAAACAGCAUGAUGAAUAGACUCAAAUGCAUAAAAAAGAAAGGUACAUUUUUGUUUAUUGUAUAUAAUUGAAAUGGUUCCGGUUCCAUACAAUUUAGAGCCAAAUGCUCAGAGAUCUACCAGAAUAUAAACUAGAAAUAUAGGGUAGGCAACUUGUCAAACUAGUACAUUCAUAAGCCUAGGAAGGCAGAAGCGAAUUUCACAUCACUAACUCCUGCCUGUCUGGCUCCUGAUUUUACCAUGCAGCUCGAACUAAAGUGUGGACUGGAUCAUGGACCGAGUCAGUAGCUCACACUGUUUUCUCUCUCUCUCUCUCUCUCUCAUUGCGUCCUGUUUUCUCAGUCUUUGCUCCAUGUCUACCAAACCCCCUGCGCUUGUUUUUUGAAAGAAUCAUCAAUAACAUGUUACAAAGAUGUGACUGCACAUAAGAUAUGGACCCCGCAUAGUGAAGAAUGAAAAAUGAAGACAUAUGUUGAUCAUCUGGAAAAUCUACAUACAGA